CCCUUAGAUGUUCUGGGCUGCACGCGCGCUACACUGAAGCGUUCAACGAGUAUUUCACCUUGCCCGGGAGGGUUGGGUAAUCUUUUUAAAACGCUUCGCGAUGGGGAUAGAUUAUUGCAAUUAUUAAUCUUCAACGAGGAAUUCCUAGUAAGCGCGAGUCAUCAGCUCGUGCUGAUUACGUCCCUGCCCUUUGUACACACCGCCCGUCGCUACUACCGAUUGAAUGGUUUAGUGAGACCCUCGGAUUCGUCCCAGCACAGUGGGUUUCUGCUGAGCUGGUGCGCGGAGAAGACGGUCGAACUUGAUCAUUUAGAGGAAGUAAAAGUCGUAACA
rnacentral:rRNA from 1 species